GGGUAGGUAGACCCGUAGGGAGCGGGGUUUGGCUGUAAACCAAAUGGCUUCACGGCCCCUGUGAGUUCGACUCUCACCCUACCCACCA
rnacentral:tRNA from 1 species